UGGGGAAUAUUGCACAAUGGGCGAAAGCCUGAUGCAGCAACGCCGCGUGAGCGAAGAAGGCCUUUGGGUCGUAAAGCUCUGUCGGGUAGGAAGAUAAUGACGGUACUACCCGAGGAAGCCCCGGCUAACUACGUGCCAGCAGCCGCGGUAAUACGUAGGGGGCGAGCGUUAUCCGGAAUUACUGGGCGUAAAGAGUGCGUAGGUGGCUGCUUAAGCGUGAGGUGAAAGGCAAUGGCUUAACCAUUGUGAGCCUCGCGAACUGGGUGGCUUGAGUGCAGGAGAGGAAAGCGGAAUUCCUAGUGUAGCGGUGAAAUGCGUAGAUAUUAGGAGGAACACCAGUGGCGAAGGCGGCUUUCUGGACUGCAACUGACACUGAGGCACGAAAGCGUGGGGAGCAAAC
rnacentral:rRNA from 1 species